AAGGAGCACUUCUACGUAACUCUUCGAAGAGUCGGAUGAUGUUGCGUCAGAGACCGUUUAGUCCUCACAUGUAGGGCUGCGGAUGCUCAUGGGUGGAACGCUGGCAAGCUCAUCGCUUCACGGUCGAGGUCAUGUCUUCGGCUGCGGUGAUAUAUCGACACACUAUUGGGUCCUGAAAGAACAGACGUUCUUUCCAGGCAAAAGACGACGAGAUCUUCUUCGCGGUUAUACCGCAGGGAUUCCCUGGCUGGUGCCGCAGUAGCGGGAAGGUUUUGUGUGUUGUUUGAGAACUGCACAGUGGACGCGAGCAUCUUUGUUU
rnacentral:misc_RNA from 1 species